rnacentral:rRNA from 1 species
CUGACGUUAGCGGCGGACGGGUGAGUAACACGUGGGUAACCUACCUAUAAGACUGGGAUAACUCCGGGAAACCGGGGCUAAUACCGGAUAAUACAUGAAACCGCAUGGUUUCAUGAUGAAAGACGGUUUUGCUGUCACUUAUAGAUGGACCCGCGGCGUAUUAGCUAGUUGGUAAGGUAACGGCUUACCAAGGCAACGAUACGUAGCCGACCUGAGAGGGUUAUCGGCCACACUGGAACUGAGACACGGUCCAGACUCCUACGGGAGGCAGCAGCG